GAUGAACGCUAGCUACAGGCUUAACACAUGCAAGUCGAGGGGCAGCGCAGUGUAGCAAUACAUGGGCGGCGACCGGCGCACGGGUGCGUAACGCGUAUCCAACCUUCCCGAUACUCUUGGAUAGCCUUCCGAAAGGGAGAUUAAUACAAGAUGGUGUUUCACUUUCGCAUGUUAUUGAAACUAAAGAUUUAUCGGUAUCGGAUGGGGAUGCGUGACAUUAGAUAGUAGGCGGGGUAACGGCCCACCUAGUCUACGAUGCAUAGGGGUUCUGAGAGGAAGGUCCCCCANACUGGUACUGAGACACGGACCAGACUCCUACGGGAGGCAGCAGUGAGGAAUAUUGGGUCAAUGGUCGAGAGACUGAACCAGCCAAGUCGCGUGAAGGAAGACGGUUCUAUGGAUUGUAAACUUCUUUAGUCGGGGAGCAAAAAGAGUGACGAGUCACUAAUUGAGCGUACCCGAAGAAUAAGCAUCGGCUAACUCCGUGCCAGCAGCCGUACGG
rnacentral:rRNA from 1 species